GCUUACGGCCAAAACUCCCUCAGCACGCCCGAUCUCGCCUGAUCUCGGAAGCUACGCGGGGUCGGGCCUGGUUAGUACUUGGAUUGGAGAUCGCCUGGGAAUCUCAGGUGUGCUGUAAGUC
ensembl:rRNA 5S_rRNA 5S ribosomal RNA